rnacentral:rRNA from 1 species
AGCCACCUUCGGGUGGUGGAAAGUGGCAGACGGGUGAGUAACGCGUGGGAACGUGCCUUUCGGUUCGGGAUAACCCAGGGAAACUUGGGCUAAUACCGGAUACGCCCUCCGGGGGAAAGAUUCAUUGCCGAAAGAUCGGCCCGCGUCGGAUUAGCUAGUUGGUGGGGUAAAAGCCUACCAAGGCGACGAUCCGUAGCUGGUCUGAGAGGAUGACCAGCCACACUGGGACUGAGACACGGCCCAGACUCCUACGGGAGGCAGCAGUGGGGAAUAUUGGACAAUGGGCGCAAGCCUGAUCCAGCCAUGCCGCGUGGGUGAAGAAGGCCCUAGGG